AGUGAACGCUGGCGGCAGGCCUAACACAUGCAAGUCGAGCGGCAGCGGGUCCCCGCGAGGGGAUGCCGGCGAGCGGCGGACGGGUGAGGAACACAUCGGAAUCUGCCUGGUUGUGGGGGAUAACGUAGGGAAACUUACGCUAAUACCGCAUGCGACCCUGAGUCGACGGACUGGGGGUGAAAGUGAGGGACCUUCGGGCCUCACGCGACCAGAUGAGCCGAUGUCGGAUAGCUAGUUGGCGGGGUAACGGCCCGCCAAGGCGACGAUCCGUAGCUGGUCUGAGAGGAUGAUCAGCCACACUGGGACUGAGACACGGCCCAGACUCCUACGGGAGGCAGCAGUGGGAAUCUUGGACAAUGGGCGCAAGCCUGAUCCAGCCAU
rnacentral:rRNA from 1 species